AGGAGCUGGACCAAAGGACAGGAGUUCACCCUGCCCCAUGGCAGCAUGCAAGUCUCAAACACAGGCUUGAUGCUCAUCAAGUCAGCAUCUUAAUCAUGGAAGCCACUGUGGUCCUGUAAAACCAGAAAUGGAGGGUAGAAAAAUCAGCAUUUAAGAAUGUUGGAAUAGCAAGUAUGCACCUCCCCAACACUGCAGAGUACAGAAUAUUGUCUAACAGAGAACUCUAAGCAAUGAAGAAGAUCAGACAACAGCUAGCUUACUGAUUGUAAAGACCUGAUUCCAAAUGGACAUGCCUUAUAAUAGCCCUGGAAAUUGUUGCACAAUGGCAACGGUGUAAGAAAGGACCAUUGGGUUAAGGCAGGGAGAGAAAAUGGCGAUAAUCAACAAUUUCGGAAAUCAGCACUUAACAUUAAAGUGUUGCUGCAGUGUUCUUCAUGAUCAGAUCUGGCUGGAGAGAUCUACCUGUCUUCCUCAGAGUCAUCUGACAGGACCUGGGAGAAGCAAUUUUUCAUGAUGCCCACC